rnacentral:rRNA from 1 species
AGGACGAACGCUGGCGGCGUGCUUAACACAUGCAAGUCGAGCGGAAAGGCCCUUCGGGGUACUCGAGCGGCGAACGGGUGAGUAACACGUGAGCAACCUGCCCUUGGCUCUGGGAUAGCCUCCGGAAACGGGGAUUAAUACCGGACAUUCACUGGUCCCUGCAUGGGGGCUGGUGGAAAGUUUUUCGGCCAGGGAGGGGCUCGCGGCCUAUCAGCUUGUUGGCGGGGUAACGGCCCACCAAGGCGACGACGGGUAG